rnacentral:rRNA from 1 species
UGCAUUCGAAACUGGCAGGCUAGAGUCUUGUAGAGGGGGGUAGAAUUCCAGGUGUAGCGGUGAAAUGCGUAGAGAUCUGGAGGAAUACCGGUGGCGAAGGCGGCCCCCUGGACAAAGACUGACGCUCAGGUGCGAAAGCGUGGGGAGCAAACAGGAUUAGAUACCCUGGUAGUCCACGCCGUAAACGAUGUCGAUUUGGAGGUUGUGCCCUUGAGGCGUGGCUUCCGGAGCUAACGCGUUAAAUCGACCGCCUGGGGAGUACGGCCGCAAGGUUAAAACUCAAAUGAAUUGACGGGGGCCCGCACAAGCGGUGGAGCAUGUGGUUUAAUUCGAUGCAACGCGAAGAACCUUACCUGGUCUUGACAUCCACAGAACUUAGCAGAGAUGCUUUGGUGCCUUCGGGAACUGUGAGACAGGUGCUGCAUGGCUGUCGUCAGCUCGUGUUGUGAAAUGUUGGGUUAAGUCCCGCAACGAGCGCAACCCUUAUCCUUUGUUGCCAGCGGUUAGGCCGGGAACUCAAAGGAGACUGCCAGUGAUAAACUGGAGGAAGGUGGGGAUGACGUCAAGUCAUCAUGGCCCUUACGACCAGGGCUACACACGUGCUACAAUGGCAUAUACAAAGAGAAGCGACCUCGCGAGAGCAAGCGGACCUCAUAAAGUAUGUCGUAGUCCGGAUUGGAGUCUGCAACUCGACUCCAUGAAGUCGGAAUCGCUAGUAAUCGUAGAUCAGAAUGCUACGGUGAAUACGUUCCCGGGCCUUGUACACACCGCCCGUCACACCAUGGGAGUGGGUUGCAAAAGAAGUAGGUAGCUUAACCUUCGGGAGGGCGCUUACCACUUUGUGAUUCAUGACUGGGGUGAAGUCGUAACAAGGUAACCGUAGGGGAACCUGCGGUUGGAUCACCU